GAAUAAUAUUGAAAAUGGAGAAUAGAUACUAAAAGAAACGGAUCGGCAAACAUCCACUAUCAAUUACACCGAAAGGAUUUCGCCAACCUCUUCAUAUCACCAAAGUUGGAAGUUUCUUGAGUGUGACGAUUGGAUUUGCAGUAGACAUACUUCCCUACUCCUCAGUGCCCCUCAUUGUACAUCACGAAGCCUGAGGACUGUGAAGGCAAUGGAACGUGACCCAGAGCUCGACAGCAAAUUAAGUGAUUGACCUGUGCGACUCUGACCUGAGCUGAUGAUUCCUGAGACUUCUAGACUGAGUCCUACCUACAGCUGAUUUUAACACCAUGGUUAUAUUUCAUGAAGUUUAUAAUUAUGAAAAUAUUGCAACUAAUAACUUAUACAUAACUGAUAUCAGUCCAAGCAUUCAAGACUGAAUCUUCUGAUUUAUACAUCGUGAUCUGUUGUCUUAUGAACUGCCACUUUUCUGACAAACAGAUAAACCACAUGGGGACCUCUUUUUGAAACUAUAAGGAUUAACAGCACAGAUCCAGACAGUAGAAACAUUUUCAUCUUUUGUAUAUUGUGAGUUAUUAGCAUAAAGCCUUUUAUAGUAAAAGGCCACCAUUUGUAUUCAUUUAAACUUGCUCUGUAAUAGUCAGCACUCUGUAUUCUGGAAUGACAAUGCCUUUCUAUGGUAAAAUGCAAAGCUAAU